ACCAAUGGUAUCAGUGGUAGGGGAGCGUUCUAAGGACAGUGAAGUCAGACCGGAAGGACUGGUGGAGUGCUUAGAAGUGAGAAUGCCGGUAUGAGUAGCGAAAGACGGGUGAGAAUCCCGUCCACCGAAUGCCUAAGGUUUCCUGAGGAAGGCUCGUCCGCUCAGGGUUAGUCAGGACCUAAGCCGAGGCCGACAGGCGUAGGCGAUGGACAACAGGUUGAUAUUCCUGUACCACCUCUUUAUCGUUUGAGCAAUGGAGGGACGCAGAAGGAUAGAAGAAGCGUGCGAUUGGUUGUGCACGUCCAAGCAGUUAGGCUGAUAAGUAGGCAAAUCCGCUUAUCGUGAAGGCUGAGCUGUGAUGGGGAAGCUCCUUAUGGAGCGAAGUCUUUGAUUCCCCGCUGCCAAGAAAAGCUUCUAGCGAGAUAAAAGGUGCCUGUACCGCAAACCGACACAGGUAGGCGAGGAGAGAAUCCUAAGGUGUGCGAGAGAACUCUGGUUAAGGAACUCGGCAAAAUGACCCCGUAACUUCGGGAGAAGGGGUGCUUUCUUAACGGAAAGCCGCAGUGAAUAGGCCCAAGCGACUGUUUAGCAAAAACACAGCUCUCUGCGAAGCCGUAAGGCGAAGUAUAGGGGGUGACACCUGCCCGGUGCUGGAAGGUUAAGGAGAGGGGUUAGCGUAAGCGAAGCUCUGAACUGAAGCCCCAGUAAACGGCGGCCGUAACUAUAACGGUCCUAAGGUAGCGAAAUUCCUUGUCGGGUAAGUUCCGACCCGCACGAAAGGUGUAACGAUUUGGGCACUGUCUCAACCAGAGACUCGGUGAAAUUAUAGUACCUGUGAAGAUGCAGGUUACCCGCGACAGGACGGAAAGACCCCGUGGAGCUUUACUGUAGCCUGAUAUUGAAUUUUGGUACAGUUUGUACAGGAUAGGCGGGAGCCUUUGAAACCGGAGCGCUAGCUUCGGUGGAGGCGCUGGUGGGAUACCGCCCUGACUGUAUUGAAAUUCUAACCUACGGGUCUUAUCGACCCGGGAGACAGUGUCAGGUGGGCAGUUUGACUGGGGCGGUCGCCUCCUAAAGUGUAACGGAGGCGCCCAAAGGUUCCCUCAGAAUGGUUGGAAAUCAUUCGUAGAGUGCAAAGGCAUAAGGGAGCUUGACUGCGAGACCUACAAGUCGAGCAGGGACGAAAGUCGGGCUUAGUGAUCCGGUGGUUCCGCAUGGAAGGGCCAUCGCUCAACGGAUAAAAGCUACCCCGGGGAUAACAGGCUUAUCUCCCCCAAGAGUCCACAUCGACGGGGAGGUUUGGCACCUCGAUGUCGGCUCAUCGCAUCCUGGGGCUGUAGUCGGUCCCAAGGGUUGGGCUGUUCGCCCAUUAAAGCGGUACGCGAGCUGGGUUCAGAACGUCGUGAGACAGUUCGGUCCCUAUCCGUCGUGGGCGUAGGAAAUUUGAGAGGAGCUGUCCUUAGUACGAGAGGACCG
rnacentral:rRNA from 1 species